rnacentral:rRNA from 1 species
AACGAACGCUGGCGGCAUGCCUAACACAUGCAAGUCGAACGAGACCUUCGGGUCUAGUGGCGCACGGGUGCGUAACGCGUGGGAACCUGCCCUUAGGUUCGGAAUAACUCCCCGAAAGGGGUGCUAAUACCGGAUAAUGGCUUCGGACCAAAGAUUUAUCGCCUUUGGCUGGGCCCGCGUUGGAUUAGCUAGUUGGUAGGGUAAAAGCCUACCAAGGCGACGAUCCAUAGCUGGUCUGAGAGGAUGAUCCGCCACACUGGGACUGAGACACGGCCCAGACUCCUACGGGAGGCAGCAGUGGGGAAUAUUGGACCAUGGGCGCAAGCCUGAUCCAGCACUGCCGCGUGAGUGAUGAUGGCAUUAGGGUUGUAAAGCUCUUUUACCCGGGAUGAUCAUGACAGUACCGGGAGAAUAAGCUCCGGCUAACUCCGUG